GAGUGACUCACUCGGUCCUCCCUUAAUGUUGUCCCCAUGUCUGCCGGAAACACCAUCUGCAGUUCUGAGGCGACUCCCGUUGCAGGGCCAGAGAAUAACUUGCAUUUUCACGAUUAGCUUGAAUAGGAGCUAUUUAAUGUAUUUAUCUACAAUGAAGUCACCUUCUUUAACAGACCUCUCUUCAACUUUUAUUUAUAUCUCAAUUCAAUCAGAACAACCUCCAAGUUUUCAUGACUUUCCCUUUUUCUGUUUUGAUUCUGUUCAUUUGUUUUUUAAUCCAACAUUUACCAUCAUUAUGCUUUCUUUGCAGAGAAAAUCCUCUCCAGUCAGGUGAUUGCAUCCAUUUCGUCUUCCCAGCCCUCCACUAGAUGGGAGGUGGAGGGAUGAGAACGUUGCCCUCAUUGGUCUGGAAUCAGCAGGUACCUCAUGACUGGAGGUGUAUUUUCAGGUGGGUUGGGCCUUUGAAGAGGUGGCUUUUCCGAUGGACCCCUCUGACUCCCUGCAUGACACAGGUGGCCUGGCUGCCACAGGGGCAGGGCAGAGGCUGCUUAGCCCUGCUCCAGAGAAACAGAGCUCUGAAGACCUCCAGAAACCAGGGGUCCUGGCGCCUCAGUCCUUCCCACUCCUCUCUUCCCACUCCUGUGCUGCAUAUAAACUUUUUUUUUUUUUUUAGAUGGAGUCUCACUCUGUUGCUCAGUCUGGAGAGCAGUGGUGCGAUCUCAGCUUACUGCAACCUCCACCUCCUGGGUUCAAGCGAUUCUCCUGCCUCAGCUUCCCCAGUAGCUGGGACUACAGGACUACAGGUGCAUGCCAUUAUGCUUGGCUAAUUUUUGUAUUUUUAGUAGAGAUGGGGUCUCACCAUGUUGGCCAGGCUGGUUUUGAGCUCCUGACCUCAGGUGAUCACCCGCCUUGGCCUCCCAAAAUGCUGGGAUUACAGGCGUGAGCCACUGCACCCGGCCUGCAUAUAAACUUUUUGAGUUUCCAGCUUUUGACACGAGCAUGAAUAUUUAUCAUUUCUAGAGGCAUUAGGAUAACUCAAGUCCGAGUGUUCAGAG
rnacentral:lncRNA from 1 species